rnacentral:siRNA from 1 species
UCGUCGAAAUUGUAGAAAUCGG